UGCCAGCUUUGGUGGACGCAGGUAAAAAA
rnacentral:sRNA from 1 species